CACAGGCUCAGGUGAUCUUUCAGUUAAGGGGCAAAAAGCUCUGGCAAAGUUCCUAUCGAACUCACAAUUAACAAAAGUAAAGGGGAAACUUUUUAUAGGAGAGGAACUCCUGAUUGAAUACAGUAACUGUGGGGUCAAGAUAAUUUUGUUAAGGAAGUCAACAAGGGCCCACUGCAACAAAGUCCCACUUAAAGACAACAAAGCCUACUUAAGGACAAGACAAUCCUGCCAAUGCCUUUCCCUGCUUGCCUCUGAAGGUAAUCCAAGAUAAUAAAUAUAAUCUUCUUCCUCUCAACAAGAAGAAACCAAAAUUCAAGAAAAUUUCCCUUACUAACUUGUUGUGGAAACUCAGCCUAACAAAAAGAUAAUGAAUAUAAUAGAAUCUGGGAGGAGUGUGGCUCAAUCAGCAAGGAAUAUGGUACAAUCUGAGAUCCUCCUUUCCAACCUACUACUUUGAAGAAACCACCAAAUUGGGAAGAAAAGAGAAAGCAAGACAAUAAAAGUUGCAUUUAGAUACAAAAUAGGAAAAAAAGAAAAAAUAAAUUCUCAGGACACCAACUGAAAAUCCUUAAAGAGCAUUUUAAUACAAACCACUAUGACCAAGUCAAUGUCUUGUGUGAUGAAGUAGACUUGACUUCAA